UACGAAGGGGACUAGCGUUGUUCGGAUUUACUGGGCGUAAAGCGCGCGUAGGCGGAUCGCUAAGUCAGGGGGGAAAUCCCAGGGCUCAACCCUGGAACUGCCUUUGAUACUGACGAUCUGGAGAUCGGGAGAGGUUGGUGGAAUUCCGAGUGUAGAGGUGAAAUUCGUAGAUAUUCGGAGGAACACCAGAAGCGAAGGCGGCCAACUGGCCCGAUACUGACGCUGAGGCGCGAAAGCGUGGGGAGCAAACAGG
rnacentral:rRNA from 1 species